CCUACGGGAGGCAGCAGUAAGGAAUAUUGGACAAUGCCCGCAAGGGUGAUCCAGCCAUGCCGCGUGCAGGAAGACGGCCCUAUGGGUUGUAAACUGCUUUUACACCGGAGAAAACCUUCCCUCGUGAGGGGAGCUGAUAGUAUGGUGAGAAUAAGCAUCGGCUAACUUCGUGCCAGCAGCCGCGGUAAGACGAAGGAUGCAAGCGUUAUCCGGAUUCAUUGGGUUUAAAGGGAGCGUAGGUGGUCUUAUAAGUCAGUGGUGAAAUCUUCGAGCUUAACUCGGAAAUUGCCAUUGAUACUGUAGGACUUGAGUACAGUUGCUGUGGGCGGAAUAUGACAUGUAGUGGUGAAAUACAUAGAGAUGUCAUAGAACACCGAUUGCGAAGGCAGCUCACAAAACUGUAACUGACACUGAGGCUCGAAAGUGCGGGGAUCAAACAGGAUUAGAUACCCGUGUAGUC
rnacentral:rRNA from 1 species